rnacentral:rRNA from 1 species
AUGCAGCUCCGGAGGCACCCUGCCAAGACGCUGCCUAUUGAGCUCAAUGGAGAAGCCAUAGUGGACAGCCUUACUGAAAAUAAUAAGAAAAGGGUGUGGGCUAGCAGAAUGGUAAGGGAUGACGAACUGUACAUAAUACAGGUUCAAGGCAUUGUUGGCAUCAGUCUCCCAACUACGCUGGUCGUCAAGAAGUGCCAGAACGUGAACCUAGCACUACAAGUGGAUGACAAUGUCAAGCACCGCUACAUUUCAGAGAUGCUCCUGUUAGCCAGCAACUCUCACGACAACAUCAUCAAAGUCGUAGACAUCAUCCAGAGGGAAGAUGCCAAUGCCAUCAUGCUCGUUUAUGAGUAUCCGGUGAAUGGCAGCCUUCAAUCCUGGCUGCACCAACAGAUGAAUGCUGUUCGGCCGCUGGGCUGGCCAGAGAGGAGGGUCAUUGCCAUUGGUGUGGCCAACGGGCUCUGCCACUUGCACCACAGAUGCAAAAAGCAGAUUAUCCACCACAACAUCAACUCCAACAACAUCUUGCUUGAUCAGAAUUUCAAGCCUGUGAUAGCCAGUUUUGACGCUGCACAGAUGAACAUGGCCGGGCUCGACCAACCGUUGCCAAUUGUAGGCCUGCCUCUAGGGAACUUUGGUUACUCAGCUCCAGAAUACGGGGUCGCAGCAAGCGAGCUGACGGAGAAGGUAGACAUUUACAGCUAUGGUGUGCUGCUAGUGGAGCUCGUCACGGGGCGGAUGGCCAAUGUAGCUGGAGCGGAUGGUCAUUUGGCAACCUGGGCGCGGAACAACUUCACUAAGCUGAUGGCAAACCAACAGGAAAUGUUCCAGAGUGCCGUGGACCGGGACAUCCCAGAUCAAGCGCGGUACAUGAAGGAGAUGGCAACUGUGUUCAUGCUGGGUGUUGAUUGCACCGCUGUUGAUCCACAGAAAAGGCCGUCCAUGCGGAUGGCUCUCAAACGACUCCGCCGCGGCUACGGGCGCGGCCCAUUCCGUGGCCUCCUCACCUGCUAUCUGCUGUGA